rnacentral:rRNA from 1 species
GAUGAACGCUGGCGGCGUGCUUAACACAUGCAAGUCGAACGAAGCAUUUAAGACAGAUUCUUUCGGGAUGAAGACUUAUCUGACUGAGUGGCGGACGGGUGAGUAACGCGUGGGUAACCUACCCUGUACAGGGGGAUAACAGUUGGAAACGGCUGCUAAUACCGCAUAAGCGCACAGCAUCGCAUGAUGCAGUGUGAAAAACUCCGGUGGUAUGAGAUGGACCCGCGUCUGAUUAGCUGGUUGGUGAGGUAACGGCCCACCAAGGCGACGAUCAGUAGCCGACCUGAGAGGGUGACCGGCCACAUUGGGACUGAGACAGGCCCAGACUCCUACGGGAGCAGCAGUGGGAAUAUUGCACAAUGGAGGAAACUCUGAUGCAGCGACGCCGCGUGAGUGAAGAAGUAGUUCGCUAUGUAAAGCUCUAUCAGCAGGGAAGAUAGUGACGGUACCUGACUAAGAAGCU